GACGAACGCUGGCGGCGUGCUUAACACAUGCAAGUCGUACGGUAAGGCCCUUUCGGGGGUACACGAGUGGCGAACGGGUGAGUAACACGUGAGUAACCUGCCCACAACUUUGGGAUAACGCUAGGAAACUGGUGCUAAUACUGGAUAUGUGCUCCUGCUGCAUGGUGGGGGUUGGAAAGCUCCGGCGGUUGUGGAUGGACUCGCGGCCUAUCAGCUUGUUGGUGGGGUAGUGGCCUACCAAGGCGGCGACGGGUAGCCGGCCUGAGAGGGUGACCGGCCACAUUGGGACUGAGAUACGGCCCAGACUCCUACGGGAGGCAGCAGCGGGGAAUAUUGCACAAUGGGCGCAAGCCUGAUGCAGCAACGCCGCGUGCGGGAUGACGGCCUUCGGGUUGUAAACCGCUUUCAGCAGGGACGAAGCUUUUUGUGACGGUACCUGCAGAAGAAGCACCGGCUAACUACGUG
rnacentral:rRNA from 1 species